rnacentral:rRNA from 1 species
UGGGGGAUAUUGCACAAUGGGCGAAAGCCUGAUGCAGCGACGCCGCGUGGGGGAUGAAGGCCUUCGGGUUGUAAACUUCUUUUGCUCUGAACAAGGCGCACCAUGGGGUGUGUUGAGUGUAGGGGUUGAUUAGCGCCGGCUAACUACGUGCCAGCAGCCGCGGUAAUACGUAGGGCGCGAGCGUUGUCCGGAAUUAUUGGGCGUAAAGGGCUUGUAGGUGGCUGGUUGCGUCUGUCGUGAAAGCUCAUGGCUUAACUGUGGGUUUGCGGUGGGUACGGGCUGGCUUGAGUGCAGUAGGGGAGGCUGGAAUUCCUGGUGUAGCGGUGGAAUGCGCAGAUAUCAGGAGGAUUACCGGUGGCGAAGGCGGGUCUCUGGGCUGUUACUGACACUGAGGAGCGAAAGCAUGGGGAGCGAACAGG